UACGUAGGUGGCAAGCGUUGUCCGGAAUUAUUGGGCGUAAAGCGCGCGCAGGCGGUCCUUUAAGUCUGAUGUGAAAGCCCACGGCUCAACCGUGGAGGGCCAUUGGAAACUGGGGGACUUGAGUGCAGAAGAGGAAAGCGGAAUUCCACGUGUAGCGGUGAAAUGCGUAGAGAUGUGGAGGAACACCCGUGGCGAAGGCGGCUCUCUGGGACGGUACUGACGCUGAGACGCGAAAGCGUGGGGAGCGAACAGG
rnacentral:rRNA from 1 species